AGUGAACGCUGGCGGUAGGCCUAACACAUGCAAGUCGAACGGCAGCACAGUAAGAGCUUGCUCUUACGGGUGGCGAGUGGCGGACGGGUGGGGAAUACAUCGGAAUCUACUUUUUCGUGGGGGAUAACGUAGGGAAACUUACGCUAAUACCGCAUACGCCCUACGGGUGAAAGCAGGGGAUCUUCGGACCUUGCGCGAUUGAAUGAGCCGAUGUCGGAUUAGCUAGUUGGCGGGGUAAAGGCCCACCAAGGCGACGAUCCGUAGCUGGUCUGAGAGGAUGAUCAGCCACACUGGAACUGAGACACGGUCCAGACUCCUACGGGAGGCAGCAGUGGGGAAUAUUGGACAAUGGGCGCAAGCCUGAUCCAGCCAUACCGCGUGGGUGAAGAAGGCCUUCGGGUUGUAAAGCCCUUUUGUUGGGAAAGAAAAGCAGCAGGUUAAUACCCCGCUGUUCUGACGGUACCCAAAGAAUAAGCACCGGCUAACUUCGUG
rnacentral:rRNA from 1 species